rnacentral:rRNA from 1 species
UUGCUAGAGAGGAAAGUGGCGGACGGGUGAGUAAAAUGUAGAGAAUCUGCCCUUGAGAGGGGGACAACAGUUGGAAACGGCUGCUAAUACCCCAUAUGAGCGUACCUGAGAUGGUAUUCUUGAAAACUCCGGUGCUCAAGGAUGAGUCUGCAUCUGAUUAGCUAGUUGGCGGGGUAAUGGCCCACCAAGGCGACGAUCAGUAGCUGGUUUGAGAGGAUGAUCAGCCACAAUGGGACUGAGACACGGCCCAUACUCC